UGCCAGCAGCCGCGGUAAUACGAAGGGACCUAGCGUAGUUCGGAAUUACUGGGCUUAAAGAGUUCGUAGGUGGUUGAAAAAGUUAGUGGCGAAAUCCCAGAGCUUAACUCUGGAACUGCCAUUAAAACUUUUCAGCUAGAGUAUGAUAGAGGAAAGCAGAAUUUCUAGUGUAGAGGUGAAAUUCGUAGAUAUUAGAAAGAAUACCAAUUGCGAAGGCAGUUCACUGGACCGUGAUCGACGCUGAGGAGCGAAAGCUAGGGGCACGAACCGGAUUAGAUA
rnacentral:rRNA from 1 species